rfam:Hepatitis C virus subtype 1a polyprotein gene, complete cds.
AACCGUCGCCCACAGGACGUCAAGUUCCCGGGUGGCGGUCAGAUCGUUGGUGGAGUUUACUUGUUGCCGCGCAGGGGCCCUAGAUUGGGUGUGCGCGCGACGAGGAAGACUUCCGAGCGGUCGCAACCUCGAGGUA